rnacentral:rRNA from 1 species
AUGGCGGCCGAGAGCGGCGAAGCACAAAUCUUGGCGGCGGCAGAGGCUGCAGCGGGCAGAAGGGAAAGCUCCCCUCGAAAGUCCGAGCUCUCGAUGGGGAAGAGGAAUCCCCUGGUGCCCGGAUGGAAUAAGAGGCUAAGGAUUGGUGCUGCUGCACCAAGCAUGACACCGUGUCCGAAUCGAAUCAGUGCGUUCGAGAAGGCUGUAAGAUGUUUUGCAGAGAAGCCAGCUUCAAAUGUUCUUGGCACUACAUUUGACUCCUUGGGCAAGGCUUGUGACUUCUACAAUCUGUAUUCAUGGGAAAAAGGUUUUGGCAUUCGCUAUGGGAAGAGACGGCUAAAUGUGGAGUGGGUAAAAUGCAUGCAGGAAAUAGUUUGUGGCUGCUCGGGUAAAGCUGCGGUAGACUUCUACAGGCAGAAGACAAUGGAAGGUAUAUUGCAGAGCAUAGAGAGAAUCAUAACUACUCACUCUCGCCUAAUUUUGGUGAUAAAAUCCAUUGGCCAUCACAUAAGCAUAUUUGACGUGUACCGCAGAGAUCUCGUAAAGCAACUUAGGCAGAACAAUGUGAAUCUGGGCAAGGUUUAUAGUAUCAUAGUCAUAGGUGGCUUUUUUGGUUCAAUGGAGAAGAGUGAAGUGCAUCAUAGGUCCUCGAACUAUUUUAGAGGUGUCACGUAG